rnacentral:ncRNA from 1 species
ACUCUUAGUCAUUAGAUGUCAAAUUUAAUGGCUUGGGAUGUACCAUGAUCUUAGAAAGCAAAAGUGAUUCCCGUAGUAGCAACGAGCGAAAUGGGAGCAGCCUAAACCGUGAAAAUAGGGUUGUGGGAAAGCAAUACAAGCAUUACUGUACUGCACCCUAGAUGGCAAGAGUCUAAUAGCCGAAAGCCUUAUUUGCUUACGCUCUGACCCAAGUAGCAUGGGGCGCGUGGAACCCCGUGUGAAUCAGCAAUGACCACCUUAUAAGGCUAAAUGCUCCUGAGUAACCGAUAGCAAAGUAGUACCGUGAGAGAAAGGUGCAAAGAACCUUCAUCAGGGAGUGAAAUAAAACAUGAAA